UACGUAGGGUGCGAGCGUUAAUCGGAAUUACUGGGCGUAAAGUGUGCGCAGGCGGCCGAGCAAGUCGAGUGUGAAAGCCCCGAGCUUAACUUGGGAACUGCGCUCGAAACUACUUGGCUGGAGUGUGGCAGAGGAAGGUGGAAUUCCACGUGUAGCGGUGAAAUGCGUAGAGAUGUGGAGGAACACCGAUGGCGAAGGCAGCCUCUGGGCCAACACUGACGCUCAUGCACGAAAGCGUGGGGAGCAAACAGG
rnacentral:rRNA from 1 species